CUCUCUCUCUCUCUCUCUCUCUCUCUCACACACACACACACACACACACACACACAAUGUUUUUUAGAUUCUGUUUGAUCUUUCUGCUUAUGCUUGACUGUAGUCACCAAGUGAAAUUGGCAUUUUAUAUUGGCCUCACAUUUGAAACUGAAAAUAAGCCAGAUUUGAGAUUUGCAUUUGUGAUAUGCUGACUAGAUACGAGAUCUCUGAUUAACAUAUAUGCAAGAUCUGCCUAAGGAACAAUAUACAGGGUAAGAAAUUAUAGAUUCAAACAUAUAAAUAAAAAAAGGAAGAAGAAAAUAAAGAUUCAAAAGUAAACAUUCUCUCUAAAUUUUGGACUUGGGAUCUUUCCGUAUGUGCUUGAGGGACUUUCCGUUUAAUCUGUUUUCAACAUAUCAAUUGCAAACCAGUUAGAACCAUCAAGUUUUAUAUGUUUCUUUAAAAUACUAGGUGCUCAUAGAUACUGAAUCUUACAGGGUUUUAUAUUGCUGACCGUGUUUUGCCACCAUUCUUGUGCCAAUGAAAUAUCGGUCUGGGACCUUUUAGUAGCUUUGUGGCGCUAACAGAAUGGAUUUAAUAUGACGCUCUGAAUCAAGUCGCUACAGCGUUUCACUGGAAGUAUUGCUGAUGGUGAAGUGUGUACCUUAUUCUGUGCGACUUGCUUAGUAGCAUGCAAGGGAAUCCAUCUUCCGUUUUCACUGGCUUAGUAGCAUGCAAGGAAAUCCAUCUUCCGUUUUCAAGACAUUUCUGAGUCAAAGACAUGUAAGAUUUUGCUCGGUUAUUGAAGAAUUUAAGAUCUUGUCAAUAUUGUCCUAUAUUUUGAAUUUGAACCACUACCUAAUAUGAAAGAAUGCCUGCUCGUAAUGAAAUACUUGUCAUGGUGUCUCUACCGAGUCCUUUGGCUAGGGCAACUCAAUCAAUAUGCAGUCGUAAGAAUGUUUUGAAAUGCAUAUGUAGUCAUCAUCGGUGUUUUCACAUUUAUGUGAAUUUGGAUGUUCGUUAAUUUGAGAUAUCUUGUGAUUAACAAUUUUGUGAGGAAUUCUAGCUACUUCAUCUUUAUCAUAAUAGCGAGUGAAUGUUACUCGUGCUUUUGUUGGU